rnacentral:lncRNA from 10 species
GCUCAAAGGCCUGCAGUGAGCCAUGCCAAUGUGGUUUGGCUGGACUGUGAGUGCUUGAUGCAGUCUGAUAGGAGGAUGGGGGUGGCGCAGAGAACAUUGAAAUCAGAAAGGAUUCUGCUCUGUAGAGACAAAGGAAACACAGAGACAUAGACAUGGAUCUGGGAAAUACACCUUUUGCUACUCGUUCAGUUUUAGCAAGGAGGUUUCUUGCAUGGCUAAGCAAAACUUAAACUUCCUCUGAGAAUUACAGGAAUUACAGGACCUGACAAAGCUAUGAAGAUUAAACCCUGACUAGCCUGCUGAAGGGACAGAGACCACAGGCACAGAGCUGAGGUGUGCCAGCUGAGGCCAUCUGAAACAUGGGAGAGAGAGAUGGCUAUGGUCAAAGAAAUGCUCAGCCAGGCCUGACCAAGAUCAACAGAACCCACCAGCUAACUGUGAAUACCUAUAGGAAGAAAAUCUGAACCAGAAACAGUAUGGCAGAAUUGGGAUCUGACUCACAGAGGGAAGAACUUAUAAUUCUUCACAGACGCCUAAAUACCUGACGUGUGACAGCAAAUGCCUGUUCCCAUGGAGCUGCUGCUUCUGAGAAAGCUUGAAACAGACAAAGAAUAAGGUAGAAAUGACCUCCUCACUAGAGAUGAAAAGAAGCUGUCCUGGUGAGGAAAUUGGAUCCCAGCUUUUGCCGCUAAGAUUCUUCUCUUCUGCCUCUGGUUUUCUUUAUUGUUCACCCCCAGAAGCAAUCGCUCUCUCACAAGGCAACACACGCAAUAGAGUGAACAGUGAUUCUACAGUCUGAUUCUGGAAAAGGCGACCACAGUGGAAAGAGUGAUCCACACAAGUAUAGGGCCUCCUGAUUAAAACACUAAGAUUUCAUCUCACGCUGUGCCUUUAUACUGUUGAGAUACUAAAGAGGACACUAAAGAUCAAAGUGCUACUUUACAACAUUUUGAAGAAAACAACUGCUACCUGUGUAUUAGUUUGUGCAGAUGUGUUACACAGCUUAGCUGUGUCUGUACCAGUUUAUUAGAAUCAAAGUAUUUUUAAAGUACCUAAGGCCAGGCACAGUGGCUCACACCUGUAAUCCCAGCACUUUGGGAGGCUGAGGCAAG